CCACUGCGAAGGAAGUCCUGUGCAUUACUCUUCCAGGAGAUUGCCUGCCUUACUACCGAGUCGUGGACUCGGUCGAAGUGGCUCAGUGCGCGUUUAGCACCUGGGAAGCAGCAGACAACCUUUGCUGGAAGAAUGGAGGCCGGAUCUACACAGCUGCCACAAGUAACGAAAUGAUAUCAGUGGCGAACUACUGGAGAAACAUUAGCUCGUCCUUCAAAGGUUACCAGGAGCCCAUGUGGGUGGGGGUGUCGCAAGGGAACGUGGAAUUUGACCGGGCGUGUGACGGACAACGCCGAAUGGGCCAGCGGAUCGCUCACCUCGACUGAUCAGGGCAUUGAUAAGUGUGCAUCCAUUGAAAACGGCAACAACUACCUUCUCAAAUCCUACGACUGCGCUUCAUCAAAACGCGUUCUAUGCAAGA